AAUUCUUUAGUUUUUUCACUUUCAGGGAAGGCAGGAGGAGGGAAGAGCUACCUGUAGAUGACUCCAUGUUGGUGGAGGAACAUGAGGGCUGACGUAACCUCUGCAGCAUAGAACCGGGAACGAGGCUCAUCGAAUUUUCGGGAGCGCUGAAUCUGGAACAUGAGGUCUCCACCGUUUACAUACUCCAUGACGAAAAAGAGGCGGUCCUGAAAGGAGAGCAGAAAAUGCCAUUUAGCUUAGUUCAGUGGGCGAAGCCCAAAACCGACAGAAAGGAGACCUGGGUCUUUGAUCUCUGUGAUGACCUUGAAACGUGGCCUUGGGUGUCCUUAGAAGAGAAACGCAGGGGGAGACUUGAGAAGCAGGGAGAAGGCAACAAGGCCACAGAGGCGGAGACUGUGACAUGUCCACAAGCCAAAGAACAUGGCAGCUACCAGAAGCUGGAAGAGGGAAGGAUGGAUGGACUCUCCCCGAGGGCCUGAGGAGACAGCAGGAUCCAGGAGACACCUUGGUUUCGGCCCAGUGACAUGGGUCCCAGACUUCUGGCCUCUAGAACUAUGAGAGAAUAGAUUCACUUUGUUUUAAGCCCCCAGUGCGGGGGCGGACGCCUGGGUGGCUCAGCGGUUGGGCAUCUGCCUUUGGCUCAGGGCGUGAUCCUAGAGUUAUGGGAUCGAGUCCCACGUCGGGCUCCCUGCAUGGAGCCUGCUUCUCCCUCUGCCUGUGUC